GGGGAGUAUGGACGGGUAGUUACAUUUUGCAGCAUAACCUCCACUAGAACACAUAUUCAUUCCAUUCUGAUGCUCAAAGUCCUCUCAGAAACCGACAGCCUCAGCGAUCUGCAGUACCGCAGAUUUACAGUUCAGUUUUUUUCUUCUCCAGUUCAUCAUGGUUAUAACUCAGCUGGACUGACGACAGUUGUUUGUGUAGACCACAUUGUUUUGUAAUGUGCAUACUUUCAUUGUGCUUUCCUUGUUUCUUUUUCGUUGGGGAGGGUGAUUUGCUAGAAGGAUAUGAAACGUAAACCUACUUUUGGACUAAAUAGCAGUGAAAUCAGAGAAUCUGUGAAAGGGCCUUUUUAAGACUGAUAUAAGCUUGGCUUAGUUAUCAUAUGAAGCUCCUUUCCUCUCACCCCUCUUGUUUGCCUGCAAGGUAUCCAUGAAAGUUUCAUGCAUCCAUGGGAUUUUUGUUCAUAUUCAUUUUGUUAUUUUGUAUUUCUCUUGCUUGCUUCUUUGUGUUGCCUGUUUAAAUAUAAACACUUACAAACUGUCCUUAAUUUUCUAAUUUAUUUUCAUUUGUGAAAUGUUUUUUUACUAUACUCGUAAAUGUAAAAAAAAAAUAUAUGCCUAAGUUAUGUAUGUGUAUAUAUUGUAUAGGUUUUUUGUUCACCUUUUUGUUUUGCUAGUGUGUUUGUAUGCUGUUUUGAAGCCAGUUAUGUAAACUAGCUGACGUUCGGGGUGUUCUGUAUCCAACAGAUGUAAACUAUAUCAACCAAAAUUGUCUUGACCAUGAUAAUGAUGAGUAUGAAGAUGAUGAUGUCGAUGAUGAUAACAAUGGGGAUGAUGAUAACAAUGGUGGUGGUGCUGGUGUUGGUUAUGAUGAGGAUGGUAUCACUCAGGCCGUUUUGUGAUAAUAACUGUGAUGAUUAUAAGAAUAAGCCAUGACUGAGGGUAUGACAGUGGUGUCAGAGUAAAGUUGUGAUUAACUGAUGACUUUAUGACAUAGAUGACUGGUGAAUAUAUAUCUGACAGUGGUAUCCAUCAUCAAUAAGCUUGAUGGUGUCCAUGAUGUGGAUGGUAAUGUCGAAGAUGAUGUCAAAAACAAUCAAGGGUUUUGUAUGUGAUUGUAAAAUAAAAUGAAAGUCCUAACAUUUGGGCAGAGUAUAGCUUGUACUAACCUUUGAGGGCUAUGGUUACUUUUACUUUUAUAUUCCAUGUAUAAUCUAUUGGUCACGUUGUAUAUUAUGUGUAUCUACCAUAUACAUAUAUCUUAUAUAUCACCCGUGUGGCUUCGUUACUAUGAAUGCGCCUUUUGACCUACUUAUCUGCCUUUUUAGUAGCAUCAUGAAUAAUUAAUCUGUCGCUCAUAAAGAGGAAUUGGGUAAAAGGCCUACGUUUUAAUAUAGAUUUGGAUUUUAUAUAUAUGCCUGCUGUGUGUUCAGAUUAUAAACCGAUUACACGCUGAAGGACAACCGACAAGUGAAACGGGUGAAAGGAAAUAAAGAUACACUACUACCCUC
ensembl:lncRNA